rnacentral:rRNA from 1 species
UAGCUGCAGUAUUUUGACUGUACAAAGGUAGCAUAAUCAUUUGUCUUUUAAUUAAAGGCUUGUAUGAAAGGUGGGACGGAAAUAUAACUAUUUUUUAUUUUAAUAUUGAAUUUAAAAUUAAAGUUAUAAUGCUUUAAUUAUCUAAAGGGACGAGAAGACCCUAUAGAAUUUUAUAAUAUUAUUGUAUUCUAUUAUUUGGUUGGGGUGACAUAAAAUUAACUUUUUAUGAUAAUUGUCAUUUUGAGUGAAUGUAUGAUCUUAAAUUUUAGAAAGUAAAUAUAAUUACCUUAGGGAUAACAGCAUAAUUUUUUUUAAAAGAUCAAAUUUAUAAAAAAGAUUAUGACCUCGAUGUUGAAUUAAGAUAUUUUUCUGGUGUAGAAUUUAGGAAAGAUAGUCUGUUCGACUUUAAUUUUUACAUGAUUUGAGUUCAAACCGGCGUGAGCCAGGUUGGUUUCUAUCUUUUAUUAUUUA